rfam:Trichosporon oleaginosus strain IBC0246 unplaced genomic scaffold CC85scaffold_15, whole genome shotgun sequence.
GGUGAAGUGGCGGAGUGGUUAUCGCGGCUGACUUCUAGUACCCACUGAAUCAGUUUCCUUCGGGAGCACGUGUUCGAAUCACGUCUUUACCG